rnacentral:lncRNA from 1 species
AUGUUCUUCCCAUAAGCUCAUGGCUUUUGAGAAUACUGUUGGUCCCAAAGGGGAGACAGUAGUUGGUCAAAGGAAUACCACCUCAGCCCAGGAAGGGGACUGUGUACUGAAGGAACAGUAAGGUGUCCUUGAGGGGUUUGAAGGGUUCCUGGUGAGGCUCGAUUGUGUUGUAGGAUGAAGGCUGAAGAGUGGGGUGGGAGGCAGGGACGAGGAAGGAGAUGGGUCAUGAGCUCUAUUAAAAUGUAUUUUUGUAAUUCCGAGUUGAAAAUAGACAUACCGACUUCAUGCUGACUGUUUCGGCUUCGUGACAUAGCCUGGCUCGUGGGGGCCUUCCCAUUCAGCACGUCUCCGUGGCAACAGGCCACUUUCUCAUUCACGCCAUCUCCAGGGUUACCUUGCUUGGCUCAUUCAGGACUGUUGCCAUAGAGACAGGUCCAUUGAUACAAUCUUGACGCUUUGGAACUUUGCUUUCCCGAAUGAUGGAGUAUUGGCCGUGGGGUACGGAUGACAUUGUGAUAGGGUGUGAGGCGAAGAGAGUUCUGGGAGUUGAGGUAUAAAGACUUAAAAUCUGGCAAGAGGAAGAUGAGGUCAUGGUAGGAGAUAUGCUCACAGUCUUUCCAGAGAGACCGUCACCCUCUCCCCAAGGGGGCAGCCUGAUGUUCCAGGAGGUGGCAGCCACUCGUCCAGGUCAGAAAGCGACUGCCAAGAACUCACUGGACCUUGGAAGUCAGCCAGCUGCCAAUCUGUCAGCUUGCAUCCGGAGGGCUGGAGAAGAAGCGCUGUGUUAACUGUGCAACUCUGUGCUGCUGUGCACGCUCGAAUCCCAUUGCUGCCACGUGAACUAGCUCAGGCUAGCCUGCUGGAGGAUGAAAAGCUGCCAUGUGAACUAGCUCAGGCUAGCCUGCUGGAGGGUGAAAGACCAUAGGGAGUGGAGCACAGUCAUUCCAGCCGAGGUCAUCCUGGACCAGUCUGCAGCCAGCUAACAGCCAAACAGAAGAGCCACCCAGCUGACCCGCAGCUGACCAAAGAUGCAUGAAUGAGCUCAACUGAGACCAGAUAAAGCACCCAACUGGGCCCAGCCUAAACUGCCACCCUUCAGAAUCAUGAGC